UUAAACGCUGGCGGCAGGCCUAACACAUGCAAGUCGAGCGGAUGAAGGGAGCUUGCUUCUGGAUUCAGCGGCGGACGGGUGAGUAAUGCCUAGGAAUCUGCCUGGUAGUGGGGGACAACGUUUCGAAAGGAGCGCUAAUACCGCAUACGUCCUACGGGAGAAAGCAGGGGACCUUCGGGCCUUGCGCUAUCAGAUGAGCCUAGGUCGGAUUAGCUAGUUGGUGAGGUAAUGGCUCACCAAGGCGACGAUCCGUAACUGGUCUGAGAGGAUGAUCAGUCACACUGGAACUGAGACACGGUCCAGACUCCUACGGGAGGCAGCAGUGGGGAAUAUUGGACAAUGGGCGAAAGCCUGAUCCAGCCAUGCCGCGUGUGUGAAGAAGGUCUUCGGAUUGUAAAGCACUUUAAGUUGGGAGGAAGGGUUGUAGAUUAAUACUCUGCAAUUUUGACGUUACCGACAGAAUAAGCACCGGCUAACUCUGUGCCAGCCGCCGCCGUAAAAC
rnacentral:rRNA from 1 species